rnacentral:sRNA from 1 species
UGCAUUUAUUCUUACACAAUACGAGUAAUAUUAUGGUUUUCAUCACAAAACACCACACAUUUUGCGUCAUUAUUCACUAUUUAU